ACAGAGGUCCCAAGCGUUGUUCGGAUUCACUGGGCGUAAAGGGUGCGUAGGCGGAUGGGUAAGUCUGACGUGAAAUACUGGAGCUUAACUCCGGAACGGCGUCGGAAACUACUUGUCUAGAGGAUUGGAGGGGGGACUGGAAUUCUCGGUGUAGCAGUGAAAUGCGUAGAUAUCGAGAGGAACACCUGUGGCGAAGGCGAGUCCCUGGACAAUUCCUGACGCUGAGGCACGAAAGCUAGGGGAGCAAACAG
rnacentral:rRNA from 1 species